rfam:Schistosoma mansoni, Puerto Rico, WGS project CABG01000000 data, contig: 0077
AUCCAGCUGACGAGUCCCAAAUAGGACGAAACGCGCGUCCUGGAA